AAUCCUACGGGGCGCAGCAGUGAGGAAUAUUGGUCAAUGGACGCAAGUCUGAACCAGCCAUGCCGCGUGCAGGAUGACUGCUCUAUGAGUUGUAAACUGCUUUUGUACGAGGGUAAACCCCGAUACGUGUAUCGGGUUGAAAGUAUCGUACGAAUAAGGAUCGGCUAACUCCGUGCCAGCAGCCGCGGUAAUACGGAGGAUCCGAGCGUUAUCCGGAUUUAUUGGGUUUAAAGGGUUCGUAGGCGGUUUUAUAAGUUAAGGGUUAAAUGUCGGG
rnacentral:rRNA from 1 species